GAUGAACGCUGGCGGCGUGCCUAAUACAUGCAAGUCGAGCGAACAGAUGAGGAGCUUGCUCCUCUGACGUUAGCGGCGGACGGGUGAGUAACACGUGGAUAACCUACCUAUAAGACUGGGAUAACUUCGGGAAACCGGAGCUAAUACCGGAUAAUAUAUUGAACCGCAUGGUUCAAUAGUGAAAGACGGUUUUGCUGUCACUUAUAGAUGGAUCCGCGCCGCAUUAGCUAGUUGGUAAGGUAACGGCUUACCAAGGCAACGAUGCGUAGCCGACCUGAGAGGGUGAGCGGCCAGACUGGAAGUGAGACACGGUCCAGACGCCUACGGGAGGAAGCAGUGGGGCAUUAUCGAUAAUGGUCUAAAGCCUGAAAAACCAUCUCAGCGGGAAAGAAGAAGGUUUUCGGAUCCUAUACCCCUGUUAUUGGGGAAAAACAAAAAUGCAACGAACUAUGCACGUCUAGACGGUACCUAAUCAGAAAGCCACGGCUAGCCUCGUC
rnacentral:rRNA from 1 species